AAAAACAUGUCUCUUUGAACUAUAGUAAAAUAGAUAUAAAGAGUCGGACCUGCCCGGUGACUAUAUUGUUAAACGGCCGCGGUACCCUAACCGUGCAAAGGUAGCAUAAUCAUUUGCCUUUUAAUUGGAGGCUGGUAUGAAUGGUUUGACGAGAGCUAAGCUGUCUCUUUUAAAAUAUAUAGAAAUUAACUUUCAGGUGAAGAGGCCUGAAUUUGUUUAAGGGACAAGAAGACCCUGUUGAGCUUUAGUGAAGUUAUGAAUAUUAACACUCUAGUAGUGUUACUAUAUAUUAAGUAUAAUUAGAAUUUGUAAUUAAUCUUUAGUUGGGGCGACUGAGGAACAUAUAAAGCUUCCUUACAGUAAAUUAAGUGAUUUAUAGUAAAUAUCAUUUUCAUGCUGGCAUGUUACUUUGAUCCAAAAUUGUUUUGAUUAAAGGAAAAAGUUACCACAGGGAUAACAGCGUAAUCUUUCUGGAGAGAUCUUAUCGAAAGAAGGGUUUGCGACCUCGAUGUUGGACUAAGAUAUCCUAAGGGUGUAGAAGUUCU
rnacentral:rRNA from 1 species